GUAUACAUGAUGUCAUCUCUGUAUACACAACAUAUGUGACACAACAUAUCUGACGUCGUCUCCAUAUAACAAUAUAUAUGUGACUUUACAUUGCUAAUGGUACAAAUAUUACGUGCAUCACAUUUCUAAUAACUCGUAAGACAAAUGACUAACCAAGUUUAUUGCAACAUUUCAUCGAGAACAGAAUUUCCAGUGGUUACAAGUACAAAGGCCCUAGCAAGACGUACAGAAGUUGUGGAAUGAAAAGAGAAGAGAUUUUGAUUUACGAGGCGCAGUCGUUCUUUCGCCGGGGCUCCACACAGUUUUCGUCAACCUUAUUUGACAUAAAACCUCAGGUUGAACUCAAGUUUCCAAAAUCUACUCGGAACAUGUCCUCGAGAAAGCCGGUGCCUCUCACAAUAGACGCUAAAAUGACCAUCAGUUCCUCUAAUGAAAAUUCUUACCUAAGCUAUAUCACAUAUAUCGGCAGAUUCACCCAAAUCUAAAGUCUAUAAAAUUCGAACAUAGGAAUUUAAAUACUUUACGAGAGAGUUGUGUCUCCUGUGUUGUUUAGCAAAGAAAUCUCGUCUACUUUUACGAUGUUUUUAUCACAAAGACAUCUUGCAAAUAUCUGGCAACAAGGGCCCAAGAAUUUCUUCUCUAUGGGAGAAACACUUCCGGUUUUGGGUUAAUGCUAAAUCAAUUCCAUAGAAUGGUUUAUGACCGCCGUUAAAUCAAUUUCCUCGCAAAAAGUUUCAUUUAUAUCAACAAAUAUAUUUUGUCUUCUUUUAA